GGUUAUACAAUGGUUAGCACUUCAGAUUCUGACUCUGACAAUCUGAGUUCAAAUCUCAGUAGUACCU
rfam:Daphnia pulex DAPPTscaffold_58_Cont3109, whole genome shotgun sequence.